rnacentral:lncRNA from 1 species
GAAACAGUACAGAAUGAUUCUUUCCUUGACCUUAGGAGAAAGAAAUCUACCAUAAUUUUGUCAGACUAAGUCAGGGAGCAUGGAUCAUCUGUGAGCAUGUCUACAAGGAGGACAAAGCGGGUAGUACUAUGGGGUCUCUUGCAUGUACCAUGCACACUAUAGUCUAUGUGAAUGCUGCUCCCCGGAAUCAUCAAGAUUUUUUUCAGAUACCAAUUUUAUAAUGAGUGAGAAUGAUAACGAGGGACAGAACUACCAGGAGGAAGGCAUGUGAAGACUUUGUAUAUAGAGUCAAUAAGAAGAUUUUAAACACGUGCAUGUAAACUUGGCCGACAAGAGGCACUUGGAUCUAGAGAGACUGGCAACAUAUAGCAGAACUUCAGCAUAGCCUAGAGCUCUGUUACAGAAAUUAUGAGCUGGGAGAAGAGACAAUGGUGAGCUGAUGGAAGUCAGAGCAGCCAGGUUAAUUAAUUAGGACUCUCAAUAAACACUAGAACAAAAAUAAAGAAGACAGUAAUCCGCUAGAACAAAAUGGAAACCAAGGAGUCACUACCCACCCAUAGACCCAAUAACAAUAGAUGACAAUUUUUGAUAAGAAAAUUAGAAGCAGGAGAGAAAUUAGCAUUUUAUGAAAGAGGUUGUAGUCAGUUGGACAGAUGGAUGUUUAAUACUUGAAUCCUCUAUUUACACAUGCUAGUGUAUCUUCCUCUCUGGAUCUGUUUCCAUAUAAGGGAUAUAAUAAUUAUUAUUUCAUACAGACAUUUUGUUGUGUUGUUGAUACAUUUGUGUGAGGUACAUGAAUAAUGUAUCUAAGUGUCUUGUACAAAUCCUGGCACAUAAAUGUUCAUUAAAUGAUGGGUCUCUACCAACAUCCAAUAUGAAAAAAUAUUUCCAUUUCCCAGGGGCUUCAGAAGAUGAGUAUGAACUCAUCUUAGAGUUGAAGAAUGUAUCAGACAGGAACAGGUCAGAAAAAGAUCCCAAUCUAUGUAUGUCAUGUAUUUAGGGACUCAGAAGGAGACUUAUCUCAUGAUUAGAUGGUGUGCAUGGGCAAAGAAAGGAAAAAAAAUGCUGCUAUUUUCAUAAAGGCUGAAAAUGCAAUAAUUAUGGGAAAGUUGCUAACAAUGAUUUUAGAUGCUUGUCAAACCUAAACAGGAGGUCACCAGAAAAAUGCUCUAAAUCUCUUCACUGUGACAUCCACAUCUUACACUCAUGCCCUUAUUUAGCAUAAUUUCACCUGGAGCUCUAUUGUCCUGAGAUCCUAGAAAAUGUAGUGUCUAGGUUUCUCCCUUGUAAUUUAA